rnacentral:rRNA from 1 species
GAUGAACGCUAGCGGCAGGCCUAAUACAUGCAAGUCGAACGAUAGUGAGAAGCUUGCUUCUCACGAAAGUGGCGCACGGGUGCGUAACGCGUAUGCAACCUACCUUAAUCAGGGGGAUAGCCCGAAGAAAUUCGGAUUAACACCGCAUAAAAUCACAGUAUAGCAUUAUACAAUGAUCAAAUAUUUAUAGGAUUAAGAUGGGCAUGCGUGACAUUAGUUAGUUGGCGGGGUAACGGCCCACCAAGACCACGAUGUCUAGGGGAUCUGAGAGGAUGACCCCCCACGCUGGUACUGAGACACGGAACAGACUCCUACGGGAGGCAGCAAUAAGGAAGAUUGGUCAAUGGAGGCAACUCUGAACCAGCCAUGCCGCGUGCAGGAAGACAGCCCUCUGGGUCGUAAACUGCUUUUAUUCGGGAAUAAACCUAUCUACGUGUAGAUAGCUGAAUGUACCGAAGGAAUAAGGAUCGGCUAACUCCGUGCCAGCCGCCGCCGUAA